AAAAUCUGAUAGAAUACAAUAGACAACAAGUUUCAGAUCAGCAGCGGAAAUAAUAAUUCAUAGAUGAGUUACGUAGAGAAUGAAAUCUACUAUUAUCUAUGAAUUUAAAAGUCCAUCGUCAAUAUUUUAUCCCUGUAACAUCAAUCAAUAUUCAUCUUGAAUCAAAUUUUCAUCUUUGCACUACAGGCCAAAGAUAUUCAUCAGU
rnacentral:lncRNA from 1 species